GGUUGAGGUCAGAAACACUUCAAACUCAAAUGUUAACAGGUCAGCGUGACCCUUGGAAAAUCAUCAGAAAUGAUGUUGAUUUAACGGUAAGGAGAAAAUUCAAUUUCUUCAUGAGAAAAUCGCAUACAGCAGCAGAGGGGACCAUGAACCAGGGAAUACAGAUGACCUCUAGAAGCUGGAAAAGGCAAGGAAACAGAUUCUCCUCGAAGGCCUCCAGAAGGAAUGCUGUCCUGCCGACACCUUGAUUUUAGGACUUCUGACUUUCAGAACUGCUGACCUUUUGCAAAGCCACAAUAAUCCACACUCCCGGGGGAACACAGGACGGUCUACCACACGCUCAGAGGAGCCAAUUCUUGGAUUACAGAAAGUGAGAUUGAGAAACCCUCUUUCCUCAGUUGGUCCAGGAUCAACCAACUUUCCACUCUACAAGCGCUACCUGGGGGCACCUCUGUCUUCUGUGAUAAAUGAAAAUCAGUUACCAACCCUGGGCCCAAAGCGGUUAAUUCAUCAAUGUGUAAAGAAGAAACAAAGAUGAUGGGGGCGGGGGCUUGAAGGGUAUAGAACAAACAGCUUCUUUCAUAAAGGCUUUUGCAGGAGAAAAGCAAAGCCCCUUUCAUUCUGAAGUGUAAGGAGAGAGGAUGUAGUAGCAAUAGGUAGGAAACACGGGCAUGAAUAUGGAUAUAGUUUUCCACACGGCCCCACCGACUUGAAGACAACAAUGAAAAGGCUAUUAUGGCUCCUGUUACAAAGAAUGGUAAGGAGACAGCUGUUCCUGGAAGCCUAGCCAAGGCCAGGCAUGAGAGUGUGGCUAAGGCACCGUGGGAGGCUGUGUAGCUCCUGUAUACCCAGUCCUGGUCACCACACAUCCUACAGCACCAUGGCUCAGCUGACCUGCCUCCUGCUCUGAACAAGGGGUCUCUGCAAGCAAGAUACCCUGAUAAUGAAGAAAGAAGCCCAGGGAGCCUGGAAUUGUGCACAUAAACAUAACAUUUCCAAGGCAAAUGGUUUUAAGAGACGCAUUUAAAAGACACUAUUCUAAAUAAAUUUAAAACAAGAACAACAACAUUAAAUGGUUCCCAGGAAUACCCUGGCAGUCCAGUUAAGACUCCACGCCCAGAAGCCUCCUCUAGGCCAAAAAAACCCCACCCAACCAACCAAACAAACAAACCGCCCCAAGCCCCAAAAUAAAUUAAAUGGUUCCCAUUUUAAGCUGUUGGUCCUGAAGAACAAAGUUAUUUUCCUUGUGAUAUAAACUCUCAACACAGCAAAACCAAAGCAUGAUCUGGAGAAACUAGUUUUAGCCAUAAGAGGAAAAGAUUGGAAACAAACCAAGCCAUAUCCCUCCAAAGUGUCUUUAUUCCAUCUAAUUUUAAGGAACGAGCGGGAUGCUCUUUCUGCUUGGGCUGCCAUAACAACCGUACCACAGGCUGGGUGACUUAAACAACUGAGAUGAAUUUUCUCAUGAACCUGGAGGCUUGAAGUUCAAGAUCAAGAUGCUG